UGGUUUUAUACCCCCAGAGGUAUGAAGAUAGAGUACCUACACAUUGCAUUCCUAUGCAUACAUUGAAGUGAUAUUUGCAGGUAUUGUUGACGCAGGGAAGUGUUAUAGAACCUAUUGUGGUUGUUCGAGGAAAUGAGAUGGUAUUGGUUAUAGUGGGACUACUGAGUUCUAUAUCUACAAGCAUUUCUGAUUUUUAAUUGUGACUCUUUUAAAAUGUUGAUGAAUUCAAUUUGUGGUUUAAAUAUCUCGUCAGAACAAUUAGCUUGCUGAGAUGUUUCAUCUCACUCUUGCAUUACUCAAUGCAGGUGCUUGUUGCUCAUCAAGGGGAGUGGGAAGUAGCAGCACACCCACCUUCAUUCUCAUAAUAAUGCUGCCCAGACGCAGCCAUGAUUUAAUUAGAAACUUCUUGUCAAAGGAUGUUUGUUUUUAACUAGUCGUGCGCACUGAUUAAUUCAGUUCAUGUUGUUAUGGUUGUCUUCCCAUUGCUAGCAGAUUAUUAAUGUCUUAUAUGUUUUCUUAUCAUGAUAUCUAUUUAUACUUUGUUGCUUCCCCCAUUUAUGCAAUUUUCAAAGGAGAUGCUGUCGAAAUUUUAUAUAUGAAUAUUAGAUGUGUAGUUUAGUAGCAUUCUGGGGUGUUUGUGGAUCUCGGGGUGUUACAGUUGGUAUCAAAGCAUAGGCUUUAGAUUCUUGGCAAUUUGAAGAUAAAUUUGACACACUUGCACAUAUAGGAAGGAUAUGGGUUCAAAUAUCUUUGAUAUAUAUUAAUGUCUUUGGAGUGCAGAUGACAAUAGUUUCACCCCUCCCUAUUCCUUUACGGUGAUGUGGUAAGUUGUUUAUGGCUUAAUGCUUGAUAUAAUUUAUUUCUGAAAUUUUGAUAUUGUUUUAUUAAUGCGGUAGAUAUCGCUGGUCAUUGGUGAGAAUGAAGUUGUUAUUAUGCUUGUGAUAUACAAGUAUGCCUAUGUUGUUUUCACCAUGUUUUUCAUGGUUGAGUUUUAUUACAAUAAUAUUGUUAUAUAUGCUUGAUUGUGGAUGUUUCUAAGAGGAGUGUGAAUUGCGUGUUUUGGGGUACAAGGUAAUCAUCAAUUUGAAUUUAAGUUGUUGAGCGGUUGGUGGAUAGCUCCAACUAUCAUUGCAAAGAAUGAUUGUUUAUGUUGAGAAACCAGUUUUGAAAGAAAUGAAUAUUGGUACUUUAUAUGGAUUUUUGGGGGAAGUCUUUUCAUAGCCAGAAUGGCUUACAUGUCUCUCUCAUAUUGUGUGUUUUAGUUGCCACAAAGCCUAGAUGUGGUUUAAAGUGGUUGCCUGUUAGUCAUACUAAUUGUAGAAUAAAUCUUUGAUUCUCUUGAUCCAUUGAUUAUGUAUUGAUACAUUGAGGAUCUGAUGGUUCCCUUUUCGAUGCAUGCUUGUGGAGCCAUUUUUUAGACCACCUAUCUAUUGGUUUGAAGGAAGUCCUUGCCUAGCCUAGAGUUGGUUGGGUGUGGCUAGUCACCUAUUCCUAGAUCAUGUGGUGUUUACAUCAGCUUAAUAUGUUUGUCAAAUGUGUGAAGGAUUAGGGGUUAUUAUUAUUGACUUUGUAUGUCUGGUACUUUGAGUGCAUCGUAUGAUAGAAUGAAAUGUAAGUUUCUGAACUACAGUAGAUGAAGACUUAUAUUAUGUGUAGGUUAUCCUUACUAGUUGGAUAUUUUUCUUAGUUGAGAUGUUGAAUGAAGUAUAGUGACAUGGGUUAAGCAAGUAUUGUGUUGUUGUUGGGCUAUCAGUGCUCUAUGUAGAGUUUUUGGCAUUUCUUCGAUGAACUAUGCCGCACAAGAUGUUAUUGGCUUCUUUUGGCUUUAUUGCUCCAUUAGUUCUAUAGAUUUUCUCCCUUUUGGUGGGGUGCAAGGAAUGUUAGAUUACAUGAUUAUCUUUUCAUGAUGGCAAGAAUAAGGUUUAGGAAGAUUAGGAGUUUUGUUCCAAUAGAACUACUUGUUUCAUAGUGCUUUAAGGUGAGGUGUUUGAUCUUCUUAUACAUUCGUCGGGUGUAGAUGUUUCACCAUUUAAUUAAAAUUAAUGGUUGAAGUUGGUAAGGGUUGUGCUUGGUGCAUAUUACCCCUUCAUAAAAGAGUGUUGUCUUAAGACAUUGAUGUUGAUGUAUAGCUGCAUCCAAAUUUGAUGGUGUGAAAUUGGAGUGUUGAUUGCAACUAUGACAUGCUUUGAGCUUCAUUACAUGUUGUUUCAUGCUUGAUGUCAGGUCGUGUAGUUUCCUUAGACAAUUAGUCCAAGGUAGAAGUUCUUGUGUUAAUUAAGACCAAUAAUGGACCCAUGUUUUGAAUUGUGGUGCUAUAUGGGGUACCUUGGGUGUUUUGCUUGGAGUGGCCGAAUUCGAGGUCGAAUUCUUUUUAAGGGGGGUAGAGUGUAAUAUCCCAAAAAAAAUGUUGACCAAAAGUUAAUCUCUGGUGCGUGGAUGAGGUAAAGGGUUGUGGGCCAUUGGAUGCAAAGAUAGAAGUCAUCUGAGGCGUCGUUUCUUUCUCCCACAAAAACCCUAGGUGGCCACCCCUUUUUUCCCUUCACCCCCCCUCUUGGCCGCCACCCCCUUUUUCUCCCCCUUGGCUGGACGCCCCCUCCCCCUAUGGCAGCCAUCCUCCAUUGCUUCCUCCCCCAAGAUCUCCCCCUACGCAGCAAGGAUCGAGAAAAGGAGGGGCACGUUGAAUUGAAGAGGAAGAGAGGAUCAAGGAGAUGUUCUUUCCCAUCUCCUCUUGAAGAUUUCUUGGGGAAACCCUAGGUAUGGAUGAGAUCCUUGUUCCUCCCGGUAAUUAUAGGCUUUUGGAGGUUGUGGAUCAUGAGAAUUAAAGGAUUAGAGGUUGGAUUUGAUGUGGGGUUAGGUUUUGAUCUCGAAUUUAGUUUUCUGCAGAAUGGCAGAUUCGACAGUUUCUGUUCAUGCCAGUUUUGCGUGGUCUUAGUGGCCUCAAAAAAAUAAAAAGUCUAUGUAUGAGUCGUAGAUAAUUUGUAGAUCUUUCCGUGGCCGCGAAGAACACCUCAAUCGGACAUCCGACCAGAAAGUUAUUGCAGUUUUACUAUAGCAGUUUUUCAGUCUCAUAAUUCUGUGCAGAAUCUGUUCUCUUAAGAUUUAGGCAAUUUUAUCAACAGAAUUAAACUGUGGGUUGGUAAAAGAAGUUGUAGAUAAUUUUAUAAGCUUUCCAGAUUGUUAAAGAGUGCAUUUAUAUGAUUUGUGAAACUCCAGUUAUGUUUGUUUUACUGUGGCUGUUCCUGUUUACCUGACAAAAAUGAGUGGGUCUGUUCACUGGUGGGUUUCAUCUAGUAAAUGGCCGAAUUGGCUCUUCCAACUAUGGAGACUUUUGUAGAGGGAUAAAAGUUCUUACUUCCAGCAGAAUUUCAUAAUUUUUGGUUCAGCAGUUUUGGAGAUAUCGAAUUUUAAAGUUAACCAUACUGCUGUCUAAAACAGAUUCAGUCAGUUAUCUUGUCAGAUCUUUUAGAACUUGUAGAUGGCAGAAUUUAAUUAUCUAUUGAAUACUGAAGUUGUAGAGUAUUUUGUGUAGAUACUUCUAGAGUAUUUGUUUGAUAUCACUGCUGUUUUAAUUUUAAAGAUACAAAAUUAACAAACAGCGUUGCUGCUGUAUGACAUGUGGUUCAGGGUGGGAGUCUUUCCACUAGGUCUUGGUUUCAAGUGUAGGAGUGUUUUGUUGAUUGAUGGCAAAUGUUUGUGAAAUAUUUGUACUAAGUUUUAUGCCCACUAGCAGGUGGCUACACUCCAGAUCAUGUCUAGUACAUUUCUUCUUCUUCGAUGAAGGCAAGUGAAUGUAGCGGUGGUUGCUUCCGUUCUGACCUGUUAUUUCUAUCGCCUACACUCUAAUAUUCAGAAGUAUCAGAUUCUUUCAUAAUUGGACUCUAUGGUGAUGCUUUACUUGCUUGCAUUAUACUGAUGCUCAAUCAUAUAUUGAUGAUGAUUAUGAUUUGAGUAUGACUCAUGAGAUUAAUUCACACCCCUGAAGGUAAAUGAAGUAUUAUUUGAGGUUGGUAUUGUAUCUGAAGGUAAAUGAAGUAUUAUUUGAGGUUUGUGUUGUAUCUGAAGGAAGUGAAGUUUAUUGAUAAAUGUAGCAUGCCAUAUACAUUGCAUGACUCAUUUGCAUAUGAAGUUUUGUCGUGACCUAUGGUCCGACCGUACCGGUACAACUUAGCAUCGUACGUUGCCCGAGAAGGGGUACGAUGCGGCUUCAUACCCUUAGAGGUAUGAAGGCAGAGGACAUAUGCAUUGCAUUCAUAUGCAUUCAUUGAAGUGAUAUUUGCAGAUGAUGUGGUUUUAUACCCCCAGAGGUAUGAAGAUAGAGUACCUACACAUUGCAUUCCUAUGCAUACAUUGAAGUGAUAUUUGCAGGUAUUGUUGACGCAGGGAAGUGUUAUAGAACCUAUUGUGGUUGUUCGAGGAAAUGAGAUGGUAUUGGUUAUAGUGGGACUACUGAGUUCUAUAUCUACAAGAAUUUCUGAUUUUUAAUUGUGACUCUUUUAAAAUGUUGAUGAAUUCAAUUUGUGGUUUAAAUAUCUCGUCAGAACAAUUAGCUUGCUGAGAUGUUUCAUCUCACUCUUGCAUUACUCAAUGCAGGUGCUUGUUGCUCAUCAAGGGGAGUGGGAAGUAGCAGCACACCCACCUUCAUUCUCAUAAUAAUGCUGCCCAGACGCAGCCAUGAUUUAAUUAGAAACUUCUUGUCAAAGGAUGUUUGUUUUUAACUAGUCGUGCGCACUGAUUAAUUCAGUUCAUGUUGUUAUGGUUGUCUUCCCAUUGCUAGCAGAUUAUUAAUGUCUUAUAUGUUUUCUUAUCAUGAUAUCUAUUUAUACUUUGUUGCUUCCCCCAUUUAUGCAAUUUUCAAAGGAGAUGCUGUC
rnacentral:lncRNA from 1 species